UGAGCUCCAGGUUGAUUUGGGGCUUUGCCGAGUCUUUACUAUGCGUAUUUUGAUAGUUGUACAGUCGUGGAUUCUAGUAUAGGCUUUGUAGAUAUUUUAAAACUAUCAUUUGUAUUCAUAGUUUUACCUGUCACAUGUAUUGGUUCAGCUAGUCGACAUGUGUUGUAUUAGCUUCUCAGUAGCAAAUCUAUAUGCAUAGUAGUUCACUUUCUCGUCGUAGGUCACUUGUAAAGCAUGUGUUCAUAUGGUACUUGUCCGCCUAACCUAGGGUGGGGUGUGACAAAAGUGGUAUCAGAGUCGUUCAUCCUACGGAGUCUACAAAGCCGUGUCUAGUAGAGCCAUACUUAUGAAUGUGUUGUGUGCCAUAUUUAUAAAUAGGGACUGCUUGGACAUUUAGCAAAUGUUACCUUCCUUCAUAAUCUAAAUCGUGCGAUAGAGCGAAGUUAAGAAGUCAAUUUCCACUUGUACCUGAUCAUGUUAGUCAUAUUAUGCGUACUAUGGUUAAGGUUAUUGGUAGCUAAAAUGUCAACAAAACUUUAUUGAGCUCAUUUUAUUCGACCAUCCUACUCCACAAGGUAUGUAAAGGUUUUUAUGUUAGUUUCAUCUAAAGUUGCAUUUGUACCAUUUGUAUCACGUUUGUUCAGUUGAGAAAGAUAUAGUAUGCUUAUCCAUAUUCUUAAAAAAUGAUGGGUUACCUUGUUACAUAUAGGAGCUGUAGCAUUUCCAACCACAUCUUCUUAGGAGGAUAUACCCACUCUUGAGUUCUAUAUUUCCCCAUAUUUACAGGAUCUAUUCCUAAAGAGGACACUCGUUCUUAGUCUAUGAUAUACAUAGAAUUUUCAGCGUUACACAUGUACUCGAAAUUGAUGUUGUGGAAACCAGUUUCUUUUAGUUGGAAAAAGGCAGUGACACAAUCUGAUAGGUGCAUGUACCAGUGCAAUUCUGUUACUAGAGAGGUACCUAAUUGGCUGACAAGGCCCAAAUUCUCACCAUAUAUCAUCCCAAAUAUGUUAAUAGUUGGCAUUUUAUAUGAUAUGUGCCAACUACCCCGAAUAAGUACUAAUAACAUUUAUAUUCUUUUCAUGAUUAUAAAACUUAGGGACAAGUGUGCUAAUUGCUGCAAAUGAUAUAUGGAUGGCAGUUCCUACUACAAUCUAUAUUUUGGUGAUAGAGGAUUAGUAUGUGACCAAAGGGUAAGGUUAACAAAAGGAAAAUUGAUUGGUUAGACCUAAAUUGUGAUUAAUGAGGUUGUACAUAGUGGGAUUAGAGCACAUGAAGCUACUAGUUUUGAUUAAAAGGUACUUGUUAGACAGGAAGCAUGUGAGAAUGAAGCGUGAAUGACACAUGCCGAAUAUGUACGUAGAGCUUCUAGUUAGAAAGAGAUUGUACAUGUAAAAUCCCCUAAACAUAGGAGUAGGGGUGAUAUGAGGAUGCUAUAGAAGAGUGAGAUAGAUGGUUACGAAAGAGUGGUUGCUACGUGUAUGAGGCAAGAAUAAGGUAUCAACCUUCAACCCUAACAAGUUAUAAAGGUGCACCUUGGAACAACUUUGUGAACCUUUGUUAGAUAGAAAAGUCAUUUUAGUAUUGCUUCAAGCUUUGAUAUUUGGUCUUGAUAACAAAAAAAAAAAAAAAGGGAAUAGAAAGGCUACCUGGAGAGAAGAUACAUGGACAUAAUUCAUCUACAUCAUUAGUACAAAAGAGAAGUAGAGCAUUAUACACAUGUAUAGACUUCCAUCAAUUGAAUAGAGCUAUUACAUGAUUCAUUUAAUAUAUGCCUAUAGUAAUUCAUCAAUCAUAGUCCAAUUAAGGGAGAGGAAAAAUUCAUCAUAUGCUAGUUGUUCGUAUUUGAUAUCUUGCAUGGGAAAAGAGUGGGAGCACCCUCACUUGUUAUAAAAAAAAUGAGGAAAUUUAUUAGCAUGGCCAGACCUAUCUAGUUAAGCCGAAAGCCGGCUAACUGUAAGACGUUAUGAAUCAUGAUAUAACUUUAUAGGUACCUGACAUUAGAGUUCAUGUUUUAUGGUCUGUUCAAGUUUCACUAUUUAUUUUCUAUUUUGACCUUGAAAAGGCACCAGACAUUGAGUGUGAUGUUACACAAACUAGUAAAAGAGGUAAAGUUGACCUCGACCUCUUACUCUAAAAGAUGAACCAUUGCAGAUUUUUUUCUCUCUAUCUUAAAUGUAGUAUUUAUAUUAACCUAGAAGGAAGCCAAUCCCCAAUAGCAGAACACCUAUAAUAAUUCUGAGGAGAUUGAAGAGAGUAAAUGGGGAAAUCAAUUGUAUAUGCUUUGAGGUGAGUAAGGAAUAUGAGCAGAACUAUCCCACCCGUGACCUAACUCUUAAGACAAUGUUUUUUUCCCAUAAUAUGGUAAAGUGGUUCUAUAGGAUAUCUCAUAGUUUUCAAAGAUGGUUUGUUAUAUAAUUAUAUAUGCUACAUGUUCUAUAACUCAUCUUUUUGUAUGACAUUUGUCCUUUAUGGAUUACUUUCUCACAUGUUACCUAAUGUCAUAGAAUGCUUGCAUGUAAGUGGUUUCCGCUUCGGAGCACCCUUGCUUAUUGCUAUAUGUUUUCGUAGGACCUUUCCCUACAUGUUGUUUAUUGCACUGGUUACUUCCCAGAGCACCCUUGUUUAUUGUUGUAUGUUUUCGUAGGACCUUUUUCCCUACAUGUUAUUUACUGCACUGGCUACUUCCCACAUGUCACUUGUCCAUAUUGUGUGGGUAUUGCAGGAUAAUUGAUUAUAUGCUAUGGGCAAAAUUAGUGCUUAUAUGAAUCGCAUACCACUUGUUUGCAUGUCAUAUGCAUCAUAAACCAUUUCUAUAUAUAUUACAUGCCUUGUAGCCUACUUGCUUAAACAUUACAGGCCUUAUAGCUUUUAUGGCCAUGUGUCAUGUGCUCAUCUAGUCCAUUUGCUACAUGCCUUAUAGUACAUUGGCUCACACGCUGCCCUAUAAUUCAUAUGUGCACAUACACUACAUAUUUAUAUAGCCUAGUGCCCGUAUAUUAUGCGCUCCCUUUUGUGCUAGUCUGCCUAUGUGUCAUACCCAAUGUGACUUAUUUCUCCAUAUACUAUGCCCAUCUGUGCUUAUUGACUUGAGUUUUGAACAUUUUGGGAAAACGUUUCCUUGUAUCAUUAUGUAGUGAAGAUUUUGACCAGAAAAGGUUGGGCAUAUAUAUAAAUUUUAUCACAAUCAUAGAUAAAUUACUUAGAAUAAUGCCUCAUUCGAGGGUGCGACAUAAAAUUUAGAGUUUAUAUUAACACGUAUGCGUUAUUAUAAGACUCACCUCUAAAAAGGGUCAUAAGAUAAAAGAGAAGGGAAAGUAGAGCCCCGAUAGGUUAGGCCUAUGAUUUUAUGUGUCCGUUCCAUAUAGUUGUUUUUAGGAAAUACUAUAGUUAUUCUUGAUUGUUAAGGCCCGAAAGCUAAGAACAAAAGGUGUAACCUCCAUUGAGGUGUUGUGGAAGGACUAGAAUAUAACGUAAGAUACUUGGGAAUAAAAGAUGGUAGAGAUCCUAAACACCCCUCCACAUUCUAAACAUCAACAUAAGGAUAUGAGAUCAUAUGGUCCCCUUAUAUGAUCAUAAGUCCUACUAGCAUUUGUUCAUUUGAUAUGCCAUUUGCAUGUUUUUUGUUUAGUAGGUAUAUUAAAUUUCUUAUUUGUAUGAGUUCUACUUGUGUAUCAUCAGUGAAUUAUAUGGUCAAGAAAGGGGUUUAAUUACUCAUAUUUAUAUUUCAUGAACCAUAUCUAGUGAGACAUCAUGCGAGACUUUUCUCUGUGUUUUAGGUUAUUCUAUAGAUUUUGGAUAUUCCAGUUGAUAAAAGGAACUCUCGCAAAUCUCCAAAUGAAAUUCAAGAUUAACCAAACUAUCAACUACACCUAUCAUUCGUCCUCGAAUGAUCAUAAGGGGGGAAGGAUGUGACACCACAUAUUCUACGAUGCCUUGUGGUAUAGUUAUGGACUCAGAUUUCUAUGCGACUAGUGACAAUAGAAUAGGUUUAAAGUGAGAUAGUAAAAGUUGGUAUUUGAUGUAAGAGUCAAAGUGGUCAAGUGCGUAUUAGUGUUAUGGUCUUGUAAAGGAACUAAGACUGGGAAAAUGGUGUAAAAUAAGUGAGGUGCUUGCUUGACUAAACUGUGCUAGUAGGUGACAAGUAGGUGAUACACCUACUUAGAAUUAAUGGACUGCAUUCUAAGUGGAAAGGGCAAAGUAGGUGAUGCACCUACUUAGAAUUAGUGGACUACAUUUUAAGUGAAAAGGGCAAGUAGGUGAUCCACCAACUUAAAAACUUGUGGCAGAAAUUAAGGAGGUGAUGCACCUACUUGUUUAAAAGUAAAGGACCAUAUUAUAUCUCCAAUUUAAUAAGUGAAAACGUCCAAAAGGGACUCUAAAGCACUCAAGCUUAUCACAUCUCCUUCAUCACUUAUUGUCCAGAAAAUUGCUCCCAAGGAAAGCCAUAGAAGCUCCAAGAGUUCUGGUUUAUAGCUUCACCAUUAAAAUCUGAAGCAAAGCCUUUCUUUUUAAAGUACAAGUUAGUAGAACAUAUCCCAUCUAAAGGAAUUCAGGUGAAUAAUUUGAUUUAACAUCAAGUUAUGCGGGAGAGGACAACCUAAACCUGGAAGAAUCCAAGUCUUAGAAAGUGAGGUUUCUGUCCAGCAAGAUAAAUAAUCUGAAAGGAAGACGGUUAGCUCAUUGUAAUAUCCAAAGCUGUGCAGCAAGGUAUGUAAGGCUAUUCGAUUUCCUAUUUCUUUGGCAUGAAUCCAACACUUGUAUUACAAAAGACAAGCUUUCUAUGUGCCCUUGGUAGUGACUGAUCCAUAGUUGCAGUUCGUACUCCCUAGAGCAUUAAAGUGAGUACUCUAAUAUGAGUUUAUUACUAAAUGUGCGUGACUUUAACUCUACCAAGUAUUAGCAUGCAAGGGUUAAACGUGUUUCAUCAUCAAAGUACCCUUGGCACGUAUUCCCCUUAUAUAAAUCAAAGUGAUCCUAGAUUACACAUGGUACAUAUGUUUAUAUGUUGGAUAUACAAUUUGCCCAUAUCAAGCUAACUUCCUUCAAUUGUCUAUUCCAUCAUAUAUGUCAUCUUGUCACUUGUUCAUAUGUUUCCUUUAUUGGUAAUUACUCCCAUUGUGUUAGACUAUUGUGUUACCUCACAAGAUCCCUAGUUGCUCUAUUUUACAUUUUAUAUGUGCGUACUUGGAAUAUGUAUCCGUCCUUAAGUUGAAUUUUCCCACGUUCUCCCUUGGUUCCAUUUUCAUGUGUACCUUGUAUUUGAUAUUAGUUAGUGAGUAUUUGGAUACCAUAUAGAGUUCAAAUAUCUUGGCUGAAUGUUAAAUGUCUUCACUAGUUUGUUCUUCAAUUUGAGAUGUCAAAAUGCUUACUGAGUCAUAUAAGCUCCUAAGUUUUACGUUGGUGUCACAUUUGCUUCCCAUGUCAUUUUUAUUAUCUUAAGUCCAUAUUCACAUGUCUUUUACUACUGGUCAAUAGUUCCAAAUCUCAACAAUGAUUAUGACCACCAAAACAACCAUCUCAAAAGAGUUAUGAUCAACAAAAGAAUAAUCUCAAAUGAGUUAUGAACAUCAAAACAACAAUCUCAAAGACUAAAGAAUCUAAGUGAAGCAAUUUGUAUAAUGAUGGGUGGCAGCCCAGGGGCAAAUGUCUAGCAUGGGUCUAUCCUAAUUGGUAUGGAAGGGUGGCAGCUCAGGGGUGAAAGCCUAGCAUGGGUCGAUCCCAAUUGGUAUAGAAAUGUGGCAGCUCAGGGGCAAAAGCCUAUCAUGGGCCGAUCCCAGUUGGUUGAAUUAUGAUGACAACAUCCCAGGGGUUAAAUACCCUGCAUGGGUCAUCCUCUUCUACCACUGAUCAGCUGGUCAUUUGCAUCUUAUGCCUUAUAGAGAUUAGAACGCACUAAAAAGUAAAGAAAAGAAUGUAAUAUACACGAUUCCAAAAGUAUAAGCAAAGAUGGUCUCUAAUCCUUACCUAUUUGUAUUUCGUUUCACUUGAGCUCUCAUUUUACAUAUGGUUGUAUUAUGCCUUACAUAUUCAGUACAUUCUUUCGUUACUACGUCCUUUAUUGGGGACGCUGCAUUCCAUGUUGCAGGUACAAGUACUCAACUAGUAGAUCUCCCCCAUAAAAGCACAUGAUACUCAGCGGUUGUUGGUGAGCUCCAGGUUGAUUCGGGGCUUUGCCGAGUCUUUACUAUGCAUAUUUUGAUAGUGGUACAGUCGUGGAUUCUAGUAGAGGCUUUGUAGACAUUUUAAAACUAUUAUCUGUAUUCAUAGUUUUACCUGUCACAUGUAUUGGUUCAGCUAGUCGACAUGUGUUGUAUAUGUAGCUUCUCAGUAGCAAAUCUAUAUGCAUAGUAGUUCAGUUUCUCAUCAUAGGUCAAUUGUAAAACAUGUGUUCAUAUGGUACUGGUCCGCCUAAUCUAGGGUGGGGUGUGACAAAAGUGGUAUUAGAGUCAUUCGUCCUAGGGAGUCUACGAAGCCGUGUCUAGUCUUACUUAUGAAUGUGUUGCGCGCCACAUUUAUAAAUAGGGGCUGCUUGGACAUUUAGCAUAUGUUACCUUCCUAUAUAAUCUAUAUCCUGCGAUAGAGCGAAGUUAAGAAGUCAAUUUCCACUUGUACCUGAUCUUGUUAUUCAUAUUAUGCUUACUAUGGUUAAGGUUAUUGGUAGCUAAAAUGUCAACAAGACUUUAUUGAGCUCAUUUUAUUCGACCAUCCUACUCCACAAGGUAUGUAAAGGCUUUUAUGUUAUUUGCAUCUAAAGUUGCAUUUGUACCAUUUGUAUCACGUUUGUUCAGUUGAGAAAGAUAUAGUAUGGUUAUCCAUAUGCUUAAAAAAUGAUGGGUUACCUUGUUACAUAUAGGAGUUGUAGCAUUUUCAAGCACAUUUUCUUAGGAGGAUGAAACCAACUCUUGAGUUCUAUAUUUCCUCCAUAUUUACAGGAUCUAUUCCUAUAGAGGACACUCGUUCUUAGUGUGUGAUAAACAUAGAAUUUUCAGCGUUACACAUGUACUCGAAAUUGAUGUUGUGGAAACCAGUUUCUUUUAGUUGGAAGAAGGCACUGGCACAAUUUGAUAGGUGCAUGUACCAGUGCAAUUGUGUUACUAGAGAGGUACCUAAUUGGUUGACAAGGCCCAAAUUCUCACCAAAUAUCAUCCAAAAUAUGUUAAUAGUUGGCAUAUUAUAUGGUAUGUGUCAACCACCCCGAAUAAGUACUAAUAACAUUUAUAUUCUUUUCAUGAUUAUAAAACUUGGGGACCAGUGUGCUAAUUGUGGCAAAUGAUAUAUGUAUGGCAGUUCCUACGACAAUCUAUAUUUUGGCGAUAAAGGAUUAGUAUGUGACCAAAGGGUAAGGUUAGCAAAGGGAAAAAUGAUUGGUUAGACCUAAAUUGUGAUUAGUGAGGUUGUACAUAGUGGGAUUAGAGUACAUGAAGCUACUAGUUAGAGAUGAAGCAUGUGAGAAUGAAGCGUGAAUGACACAUGUCGAAUAUGUACGUAGAGCUUCUAGUUAGAAAGAGAUUGUACAUGUAAAAUCCCCUAAACAUAGGAGUAGGGGUGAUAUGAGGAUGCUAUAGAAGAGUGAGAUAGACGGUUACGAAAGAGUGAUUGCUACGUGUAUGAGGCAAGAAUAAGGUAUCAACCUUCAACCCUAACAAGUUAUAAAGGUGCACCUGGGAACAACUUUGUGAACCUAUGUUAGACAUAAAAGUCAUUUUAGUAUUGAUUCAAGUCUUGAUAUUUGGUCUUGAUAACAACAAGAAAAAAAAAGGGAAUAGAAAGGUUACCUGGAUAGAAGAUACGUGGACCUAGUUCAGCUACAUCAUUAGUACAAAAGAGAUGUAGGGCAUUAUACACAUGUAUAGACUUCCAUCAAAUUGAAUAGAGCUAUUACAUGAUUCAUUUAAUAUAUGCCUGCAGUAAUUCAUCAAUCAUAGUCCAAUGAAGGGAGAGGAAAAAUUCAUCAUAUGCUAGUUGUUCGUAUUUGAUAUCUUGCAUGGGAAAAGAGUGGGAGCACCCUCACUUGUUAAUAAAAAAAUGAGAAAAUCUAUUAGUAUGGCCAGACCUAUCUAGUUAAGCCGAAAGCGGCUAACUCUAAGACGUUAUGAAUCAUGAUAUAACUUUAUAGGUACCUGACAUUAGAGUUCAUGUUUUAUGGUCCGUUCAAGCUUCACUAUUUAUUUUCUAUUUUGACCUUGAAAAGGCACCAGACAUUGAGUGUGAUGUAACACAAACUAGUAAAAAAAGGUAAAGUUGACCUCGGCCUCCUACUCCAAAAGAUGAACUAUUGAGGAUUUUUUCUCUCUAUCUUAACUGUAGUAUUUAUAUUGACCUAGAAGAAAGCCAAGUCCCAAUAGCAGAAAACCUAUAAGAAUUCUAAGGAGAUUGAAUAGAGUAAAUAGGGAAAUCAAUUGUAUGUGCUUUGAUGUGAGUAAGGAAAAUGAGCAUAACUAUCCCACCCGUGACCUAACUCUUAAGAUAGUGUUUUUUCCCCUUAAUAUGGUAGAGUGGUUCUAUAGGAUAUCUCAUAGUUUUCAAAGAUGGUUUGUUGUAUAAUUAUAUAUGCUACAUGUUCUAUAACUCAUCUAUUUGUAUGACAUUUGUCCUUUAUGGAUUACUUUCUCACAUGUUACCUAAUGUCAUAGAAUGCUUGCAUGUAAGUGUAAUCCGUUUCGGAGCACUCUUGUUUAUUGCUAUAUGUUUUCGUAGGACCUUUCCCUACAUGUUAUUUAGUGCACUGGUUACUUCCCACAUGUCACUUGUCCAUAUUGUGUGGGCACUGCAGGAUAAUUGAUCAUACGCUAUGGGCAAAAUUCGCGCUUGUGGGUUAUAUGAAUCGCAUACCACUUGUUUGCAUGUCAUAUGCAUCAUAAACCAUUUCUAUAUAUAUUACAUGCCUCGUAACCUACUUGCUUAAACAUUACAGGCCUUAUAGCUUUUAUGGCCAUGUGUCAUGUGCUCAUCUAGUCCAUUUGCUAAAUGCCUUAUAGUACAUUAGCUCACACGCUACCCUAUAAUUCAUAUGCGCACAUACACCACAUAUUUAUAUAGCUUAAUGCCCGUAUAUUAUGCGCUCCCUUUUGUGCUAGUCUGCCUAUGUAUCAUACCCCUCUGUGCUUAUUGACUUGAGUUUUGAACAUUUUGGGAAACGUUUCCUUGUAUCAUUAUGUAGUGAAGAUUUUGACCAGAAAAGGUUGGGCAUAUAUGUAAAUUUUAUCACAACCAUAGAUAAAUUACUUAGCAUAAUGCCUCAUCCGAGGGUGCGACAUAAAAUUUAGUGUUUAUAUUAACACGGAUGCGUUAUUAUAAGACUCACCUCUGAAAAAGGUCAUAAGAUAAAGGAGAAGGGAAAGUAGAGCCCUGAUAGGUUAGGCUUAUGAUUUUAUGUGUCCGUUCCACAUAGUUUUUUUUAGGAAAUAAUAUAGUUAUUCUUGAUUGGUAAGGCCCGGAAGCUAAGCACAAAAGGUGUAACCUCCAUUGAGGUAUUGUGAAAGGACUAGAAUAUAACGUAAGAUACUUGGGAAUAAAAGAUGGUAGAGAUCCUAAAUACCCCUCCUCGUUCUAAACAUCAACAUAAGGAUCUGAGAUCAUGUGGUCCCCUUAUAUGAUCAUAAGUCCUACUAGCAUUUGUUCAUUUGAUAUGUCAUUUGCAUGUUUUGUGUUUAGUAGGUAUAUUAAAUUCCUUAUUUGUAUUAGUUCUACUUGUGUAUCAUCAAUGAAUUAUAUGGUCAAGAAAGGGGUUUAAUUAGUCAUAUUUAUAUUUCAUGAACCAUAUCUAGUGAGACAUCAUGCAAGACUUUUCUAUGUGUUUUAGAUUAUUCUAUAGAUUUUGGAUAGUCCUGUUUACAAAGGGAACUCUCGCAAAUCUCCAAAUGAAAUUCAAGAUUAACCAAACUAUCAACUACACCUAUCAUUCGAGGACGAAUGAUCAUAAGGGGGGAAGGAUGUAACACCCCGUAUUCUACGUUGCCUUGUGCUAUAGUUAUGGUCUCAGAUUCUUAUGCGACUAGUGACAAUAGAAUUUGUUUAAAGUGAGAUAGUAAAAGGUGGUAUUUGAUGUAAGAGUCAAAGUGGUCAAGUGCGUAUUAGUGUUACAGUCUUGUAAAGAAACUAAGAUUGAGAAAAUGGUGUAAAAUAAAUGAGGUUCUUGCUUGACUAAACUGUGCUAGUUGGUGACAAGUAGGUGAUACACCUACUUAGAAUUAGUGGACUGCAUUCUAAGUGGAAAGGGCAAAGUAGGUGAUGCACCUACUUAGAAUUAGUGGACUUCAUUUUAAGUGAAAAAGGCAAGUAGGUGAUCCACCUACUUAAAAACUUGUUGCAGAAAUUAAGGAGGCGAUGCACCUGCUUGCUUAAAAGUAAAGGACUAUAUUAUAUCUCCAAUUUAAUAAGUGAAAACGUCCAAAAGGGACCUCUAAAACACUCAAACUUAUCACAUCUCCUUCAUCACUUUUUCUCAGAAAAUUGCCCCCAAGGAAAUCCAUAGAAGCUCCAAGAGUUCUGGUCUAUAGCUUCACCAUUAAAAUCUGAAGCAAAGACUUUCUUUUUAAAGUACAAGUUAGUAGAACAUAUCCCAUCUUAAGGAAUUCAGGUGAAUAAUCUUAUUUAAUAUCAAGUUAUGGGGGAGAGGACAACCUAGCUAAACCUUGAAGAAUCCAAGUCUUAGCAAGUGAGGUUUCUGUCCAGCAAGAUAAAUAAUCUGAAAGGAAGACAGUUAACUCAUUGUAAUAUCCAAAGUUGUGCAACAAGGUAUGCAAGGCUAUUUGAUUUCCUAUUUCUUUGGCAUGAAUCCAACACUUGUAUUACAAAAAGUAAACUUUCUAAGUGUCCUUGGUAGUGACUGGCUACUCCCUAGAGCAUUAAAGUGAGUACUCUAAUAUGAGUUUAUUACUAAAUGUGUGUGCUUACUCUACCAAGUAUUAGCAUGCAAGGUUUAAACGUGUUUCAUCGUCAAAGUACACUUGGCACGUAUUCCCCUUAUAUAAAUUAAAGUGAUCCUAAAUUACACAUGGUACAUAUGUUUAUAUGUUGGAUAUACAAUCUGCCCAUAUCAAGCCAACUUCCUUCAAUUGUGUAUUCCAUCAUAUAUGUCAUCUUGUCACAUGUUCAUAUGUUCCCUUUAUUGGUUAUUACUCCCAUUGUGUUAGACUAUUAUGUAACCUCAUAAGAUCGCUAGUUGCUCUAUUGUACAUUUUAUAUGUACGUACUUCGAAUAUGUAUCCGUCCUUAAGUUGAAUCUGCCUACGUUCUCCCUUGGUUCCACUUUCAUGUGUACCUUGUAUUUGAUAUUAGUUAGUGAGUAUUUGGAUACCAUAUAGAGUUCAAAUCUCUUGGUUGAAUGUUAAAUGUCUUCACUAGAUAUGUGCUUCAAUUUUGAGAUGUCAAAAUGCUUACCGAGUCAUAUAGGUUCCUAAGUUUUACGUUGGUGUCACAUUUGCUUCCCAUGUCAUUGUUAUUAUCGUAAGUCCAUAUUCACAUGUCUUCUACUACUGGUCCAUAGUUCCAAAUAUCAACAAUGAUUAUGACCACCAAAAUAACAAUCUCAAAAGAGUAAUAAUCAUCAAAUGAAUAAUCUUAAAGGAGUUAUGAACAUCAAAACAACAAUCUCAAAGAUUAAAGAAUCUAAGUGAAGCAAUUUGUAUAAUGAUGGGUGGCAGCCCAAGGGCAAAUGCCUAGCAUGGGUCGAUCCUAAUUGAUAUGGAAGGGUGGCAGCUCAGGGGCGAAAGCCUACCAUGGGCCGAUCGCAAUUGGUAUAGAAGGGUGACAGCUCAGGGGUAAAAGCCUAACAUGGGCCGAUCCCAGUUCAUUGAAUUAUCAGGACAACAUCUCAGGGGUUAAAUACCUAGCAUGGUUCAUCCUCUUCUACCACUGAUCAGCUGGUCAUUUGUAUCAUAUGCCUUAUAAAGAUUAGAACACACAAAAAAGUAAAGAAAAAAAUGUAACAUACACGAUUCCAAAAGUAUAAGCAAAGGUGGUCUCUAAUCCUUACCUAUUUGUAUUUGAUUUCACUUGAGCUCUCAUUUUACAUAUGGUUGUAUUAUGCCUUACAUAUUCAGUACAUUCUUUCGUACUGACGUCCCUUAUUGGGGAUGGUGCAUUCCAUGCUGCAGGUAGAUGUACUCAACUAGUAGAUCUUCCCUAUAGAAGCACUUGAUACUCAGCGGUUGUUGGUGAGCUCCAGGUUGAUUCGGGGCUUUGCCGAGUCUUUACUAUGCGUAUUUUGAUAGUUGUACAGUCAUGGAUUCUAGUAGAGGCUUUGUAGACAUUUUAAAACUAUUAUAUGUAUUCAUAGUUUUACCUGUCACAUGUAUUGGUUCAGCUAGUCGACAUGUGUUGUAUAUGUAGCUUCUCAGUAGCAAAUCUAUAUGCAUAGUAGUUCACUUUCUCGUCAUAGGUCACUUGUAAAGCAUGGGUUCAUAUGGUACUUGUCCGCCCAACCUAGGGUGGGGUGUGACAGAAACAUAAUUCAAGAAUAUUGUUAUGACAUAAGUAGAAUUAGCUGUUUGUGAGAAAAUUGAACCACACAUGAGCACAUGGGACAAAAUUCAUAACUUGCAUGAAAAUAUUCCAAUAAAAGUUAUCCAAGAGGAGGACAAAGCUAACACAUACCCGUUAAAGUCCUAUAAGAAACAAUGGAAUGUCUUACCCUUAAGAAUAGAAGAAUAAUCACAAGAGUGGAAAAAUACAGUACAACCAAGGAUAUAUAACUUGAAAAUUAAAUAGGAAAAAUCAAAGAAAGAAAAGAAGAUUUUAGCUUUGGAGAAUAAUCACUAAAUUAUUAUCUGGAGAUACAGUCUAGCAGAAUCAAGGGUGCACAUUAAAUACAAUAUAAGCACAAAACUGUACUUAUGAAAAGAAAUAGAAGAACAUAAGAUUUGAAAAAAUUACCCAAAUAAAUUGAAGAACUGUACCACUGAAGGAAGGAAAAUUGGACACAGGGAUACAUAAUAUAAUAUUGUGGGUAUUUGGAAAAACAGAACUGGUUUGCUAAAUUAAAAGAGCGCAGUACACGUGUCUUCGUUUAUCAAUAAGAUAAGUCUAGUUUGUAGUGUAAUUCACGUAACAUCUUUUACAAUUAAAUAUUACAUUGUUUGUCCUAUGCUGUUGACUUUAAUAUAAAAAUAUUUUAAGAAGUUAUCAUAAAUGAUGUUCUACAACACAAUAAAAGUAAUGCAUUAGGAGAGAGGUGGGUAUAAGAAGAAUGUUUUCAGUUUUGUUGCAUCAUGUCCUAGCAUUAUCUUUUGGAAGUCAAUCUUAUGUCUACUGCUCUGUGUCUACCAGUAGAAUCAACACAUAAUCUAACAGUACUAUAAAUUAUAUCACCAGAACCAUAACCUUCCUUAGAUAUAAAAAUCCUUCUAUUAGGAGACCAACAAUAUUGAGUGUUCAAGUAAUAGAGGGUUUUAUCGUUGUUACAUGAAGUUUCACAUUUUCUAUUUCAUAUUGAGUUGAUUAGUACCUCUAGUAGAAUUAUUCCUAAUUGAUAUCGUAUACUUUCUCUAAUUCUUUCGUACUUAAUCUGUAGUAUAC
rnacentral:lncRNA from 1 species